GAAAAAGACAGUUAAAUAUCUUAUCUCCAGACAGAAUAACAGAAGGCUCAGGACUAGAAAAACCUUAAUGAUUAUCAUUUUAAUAAAUGAAGACACAAAGACCAAAGGAGUUGUGUCUCUCAUCAAAAUCAACCCAGGAAUGAUUAAGUGGUAGCUCCAGGGCUCAUCUUAAUGGUUCUUGGACUGGGACAUUGGUCUCUAGGAGAGUUGUCUACUUCUAAUCUCAACACCCUACCUGCUAACCCUGCCUCAAGCAAUGAUACACUCCAUAAUUUUUACUUUCCAUGCACAACUUUUGGUGAUAUAUUCUAUAAUUUAAUAAUUUAGAAGAGGUUAUGCUACAACUUAGUCACAUAAUAUGAUGAUGAGCCUUGUACAUUAUAAAUCCAGGGCAUCUCUCUAUCUGAUCAUUUAUGAAAUUAUGUGUUAGGCCUGCUACAGGUGGUUUAUAUUUCAUACCAGGUAUAAAACUAUUCUAAACCAUCCACAAGAAAAAAUUACAGGAAAAUAAGGAAAAGAACAAACAAUGAUACUAAAAUUAUUUAAACAAUUAGAAUUUCAAAAAAUAGGACAAAAUUAUAUACAUAGAAAUACAUAAUCCUAUUAUGCCACUGCUCUACCCUAAACCAUGGUCUGAUAAAAUUCUUCACUUUCUUUUAAAGAUAGAAGCAGUAGAAAAAAAUGAGAACAUAUUCAAUGAUAAAAAUUUACUGAUAAAUUCAAGAAACAAAACUAGCACAGAAUUUUAUAAAAUUUUCAUUUCUAUCCACUUAAGAAAACAAUUUAGCAUUAGAACAUUAUUUGGGGUCAUGACAUUCAUAAUUCCUAGAUAUUCCCUCCCUGUGCCCUUCUAACCUGAUCCCUCUAAUCUGUCACUUUAGAAUUACAGCAAAUUUCUGAUUUGUACCCAAGUUCAUGUGCAAAGAGCUAAGAAAACAAAGAUACUUAAAUAAGUAGUCACUCAAUAAAUAGUAAAGACUGCAAAAAUUCAUAGUAUACAUGAACAGCCUCUUUGAAGUACAUGACUCUGUCCUUUACUUGGAAAACCCACUAUGGAGUAGGCUUAAGGCAGAAAGCAGACUUCACCUAAACCUAUAUAAUAGGAUAUAAAAUUAGAAAGAAAAACUAUGAAUGAUGCACAAAAACAGGAUCGGUCAUUGGAACAGCACUACACAACCUUUUUUGGCACCAGGGACCAGUUUUGUGGAAGACAAUUUUUCCACAGACAGACUGAGGGGUGUUGGGAUAUGGUUUCGGGGUGAAACCGUUCCACCUCAGAAGAUCACCAGGCAUUAGAUUCUCAUAAGGAGCGCACAACCUAGAUCCCUAACAUGCACAGUUCACAAUAGGGUUUGCGCUCCUAAGAGAAUCUAAUGCCCCCGCUGAUCUGAGAGGAGGCGGAGCUCAGGCAGCAAUGCUCACUGUGCAGCCAAGUUCCUAGCCAAGACCAGUUCCGGUACUGGUCUGUGGCCUGGCGGUUGGGGACCCCGGUAUUAGAACAUAGAUUUGGUUGAAGCAAGAAUUCAGUUACGAAUGAAACCUAAGAUUAUAUGUUUUUAAUUCUAAAAUGAGGAACUUUAACAUGAUACAACUGAAAAAGGUCUAAUCCCAGAUGUUGAAGCAACCAAGAACAAUGUGAUACGAUACAGUGUGUUCCUAGGUUGAGAUUUCAAACAUAGAAUUUAACACUGAACAACAAACAAUGUGUAUUCUAAGAAUCAGUGCAUUGCUAUGAGAAUGUCAUGGUUUCUGUAGCACUUGUCAAUAUACUAUGUGUGAAAGACAAUGAGCGUAUUGCAAGGAAGAAAAGUAUGUAAUGAGAAUAAGUCUGAAGAAUUUAGCAAGCCAUGUAAGAUAUCCCAGCUGUGAAAAGAAAGCUACAAGAAUUCCAUGGAGUCAUAAGGUAUUAUGAAACUUUAAUGACGAAGUAUACAUCUUUUGCUUGAGCCCUUGUCUGACAUAAAUAUCUAAGGAGGUAAGAAAUCAUUCCUAACAUAAUUAAUUUUAGAGUGGAAGGAGAGUGGGGGGGAUGAAAAUGACAGAUGGAAAUAGUUAUUUCCAACAUUUGGUAUCAGCUGCUGGGACAGCCAAAUGUGCGCACACACCCACCCCAUUUGGCAGGCUUUCUCUUCCAAUAGUACAUAAAUGAAUAGCCAAACAGCACAGGCAGACAUCUGUAAAAGAAUACGCAGCCCCAACUGGCAAAUUGAUGACAAGUUUCAAGGCAUUGUAAUAUAUCAUUUUUAACUGUUCAACAAUCAUUUUGAGAAUAAAUUAUAAAUGUCUACUAUGUGCCAAGAGCUGUGCUAGGCACUGGAAAUGUAUGCUCUGCCAAGAAAGAGACCUGUUAGAUCAGUCCGGAAAACAGAUAAAUAUACAAAAAGAAAAUAAAUAUGAUACAAACUCUAAUAGGAAAAUGCACAGAGAGCACAUAAGAGGGGAUGAGUUUCAGGAAGACUUCCCAAGGGAGAAAAUACUUUAGUGGAAUGUUAAAGGACAAAUACUCAUUACCUCAGCAGAAGAUAGAGUUAAAGGAAAUUUUAUAUAUGGCAAUGAUUUUUCAAAAUUUAUGGAGCUAAAAUGCAUGACAUUUCCAAGAGCCACAUGUGCUUUGGCUGGAGUGCCCAAUAUGGUGGAGAUGAGUAUGAGAAAUGAUGGACAAGAAGCUGGUGCAGGUCACAAAAGACCUUUGUAAACCAUGCUAGAGUUUGACUUCUCAUGUUCAUUCAAAAAUCACUUCUCAGCACUAUUGAAUAUUUUUUUAAAAUUCAAUUUCUUGAGGAAUUUCACUUACAAAUACUUCACUUAUCCACAGGUCAAUUUAUUCAGCACCUCAACAACGUGAAACGUGGCUUAAGAAUCAGGAAAUAAACAAGAGUCUUUGGUCAGCCAAAUUAUAGACCCCAAACCUAUGCACCACCAUCAUGUACUUCAUAGAAGAGCUGUUUAAUCUUCAAAGUCUAUCUAAUCUUUGUUCUCUAAAUUCCUAAUUAUCACUUUUCUUUCAUGAGAAUAAUUCACAUAAAGAUCUUAUCUCUCUCUACUAGGCUAUAAGAUCUUUUAAGUAUCCAUUCAUAUUCAUUUUGCAUUACUGGUAGCUCCAAGCCAAGCUUAGGCUUGGCAUUAGCUGGCACUCAUAUAUUUGAUGAGUGAAUAAAACUUAGAUCUUUUUUUUUUUUUUGAGAUGGAGUCUCGCUCUGUUGCCCAGGCUGGAGUGCAGUGGCGCGAUCUCAGCUCACUGAAAGCUCCACCUCCUGGGUUCACACCAUUCUUCUGCCUCUGUCUCCCGAGUAGCUGAGGCAGGAGAAUGGCGUGAACCCAGGAGACAGAGCUUGCAGUGAGCAGAGACUGCAUGCCACUGCACUCCAGCCUGGGCGACAGAGAAAGACUCUGUCUCGAAAAAAAAAAAAAAGAACUUAAACUACAAGGUCUAUAAAACAGAUUCCUCAUUAACAUACUUUUUUGUUAAAAAAUCCUGCAAUAUAAAAGCAGUAAUAUAGAAUGAAAAAAAAUUAAAAUUUAAAGCCACUGCAUAAUAAUGUAACUACUGUCAGAAAUCUAUGAAACUUGAACCAAAUUAUUAGCAUCACAUAAAACUAGCACAGUUUUAGGUUAAAUAAAAAUAGGUUGGAACUUGAAAAAAAAAACAACAGGCAGAUUAUCAACGCAAUGCAUUUAGAACUGGAUCAUAACUUAAUCACUUUUGUAUCAGAGACAAGCAGAUUAGUGCAAAGUAGAAUAUUUAUAUGAAUAAUAAGUUUAAAAUCUCUUAUUCUUUUUUCUACAUAGUUUAAAAAAUGACCAUCAUUUCUCUACUGUGUUUAUUCAAUCUAUGCUGAACAGAACUGUAACCAUUUUUUUUUUUUUUGAGACGGAGUCUCACUGUCACCCAGGCUGGAGUACAGUGGUGCCAUCUCAGCUCACUGCAACCUCUGCCUCCCAGGUUCAAGCAAUUUUCCUGCCUCAGCCUUCCGAGUAGCUGGGAUUACAGGCACAUGCCACCAGGCCCAGCUAACUGUUGUAUUUUCAGUAGAGACGGGAUCUCACCAUGUUGGCCAGGCUGGUCUCGAACUCCUGACCUCAAGUGAUCCGCCCGCCUCAGCCUCCCAAAGUGCUGGGAUUACAGGCAUGAGCCACUGCACCCGGCCUUGUAUCCGUUUUAUAAAGUGAAAUUUUAGCAGAAUUUCAAAUUCAUAUUGGUGAGUAAAAGGCACUGGGAUAGCAAAAAGCCUAGAUUAGCACAAACAGGUAAAUGUUCAUAAACAACAGCAUUAUAUACAAAUGUUAUUUAUUGUUAAUAAUAUCCUUUACCGGGAUAAAUUGGUGAAGACAGAUUUUCUCUACCACUGGCUGAAUGAAACUCCACAUUGUUACCAGUAUCAACAGUUUCCCUAAAAAUUUUAAGCACAAUUCGAAUGCUCUAAUUUUAUAUAAUUCAUUAUAAAAUUCAGUGUCAAGAUUAAAGAAAAAAAAGAACAAACCUGUUCUAGACUCACUUUUAUAUAAAUGCUGGCUUUUAAUGUCUUUCAACAAGAUAAUUAUACAUUCAUAUUCAAAUAUGGGUAAUUUCAUUUAAAAUGCAGAACUUUUGGUAAGAAAAUUCCAAGUAUAUUCAUCUGAAAGUAUAACAUAAUUUAAAUGUGGAUAGUUAAGAGAAAAUUUCUGUCCAAGUUUGGAAUUCUAAAUGUUAAACAAGAUGACUACUAGAAAAAAUAGUUCUAAAGAUCAGGAAUACUUGUCUCUCUACAUGUGAGAAGUGCUUUGAUCCUAUGAGCCCUACUGCCUAGCACUGAAGGCAUGUGCAGUAAAAACUCAGUGGUAAUAUUGAAUGUUGCUCCCUUACUCCACCACUCUCCUGGCUCUUGGAUCCAGCGGUGUGAUUUUCUUCUAAGAAUAAAUAUAGGCAUUUAAAUAGGUUGUGACUAAUUUGGUUUUCAUAACUGGUUGGUCUUCCCUAGCUACACAAUGUUUCUUGAAAGCUGGGGUGUUUAGCAAUUUUUAAAUUCCAGGUAUAGUACCUGGCUAUCCAGUAGGUGCUUCUGAAUAUAUGAUCAAUACAGUUCUCAGGAAUAGAUCCCCUAUGGAAGUACCAUGAAGGUAGUUUAAUCCAAUACAUCAUUUACAGAUAAAUAUGAGGCCCAGAGAAGUAAAAUUAUUUAUGUAAUAUCACAGAGCUAAUAAAGUCUGAAUAUUAUCUUGACUCUAUGUGCUGCUUAAGGAAACUGACUCAAACAGCUUAGGCAAAUUAACUCUGGUAAUAAAUGAAGUGACAGACACCAUGUCACACUUGGAUAAUACUCCUAACCAGAAACCACAUAGCCUGAUUUUUUUUAUUAAAUAUAUAUACUUUUUAAUUAAUUAAUUAAUUUUUUUUUGAGACAGGGUCUUGCUCUGUCACCCCAGCUAGAGUGUAAUAGUGCAAUCACGGCUCACUGCAGCCUCAACCUCCUGGGCUCAAGUGAUCCUCCUACCUCAGCCUCCCAAGUAGCUGGGACUACAGAUGUGCACCACCACACAUGGCUAAUUUUUAAAUUUUUUUGUGGAGGUGGAGGUCUCACUAUGUUGCCCAGGCUGUUCUUAAGCAAUUCUCCUGCCUCAGCCUCCCAAAGUGCUGGAAUUAUAGACGUGAGCCACCAUGCCCGGCCCACAGCAUGAAUUUCUACUGUUGUAAAAGGUUUACUUAAAUUGACCCACACUAAUAAGCCCUACAUGUGUGAACUAUUACAAAGGCAGUAAUAUUACUUUUAAUAUGUUGUCAAAAUUAAUAGGGCUUUUCUCUGUUGUUCAACAAAUUACAAAGGAUGGUAGCAAAAAGUAUUAAAAUCACAUACAUGUGAACUUAAAACAAUAAAGGAAAAUAACUAAGGCACACCAGCACAUAAGCAUUUCAACAUAAAUGAAAAAGGCAACAUAUUAAUUACAAAAAUGAAACUUUUUUAAGUUAGUUGGAGUAAUAAUGCCACAAAGCAAAACUACAAAGUUGGUAAUGAGUUGCCUCUAAAAUUCCUCAUGAAGGAGACAAUCUUGGAACUUUGAAGAGGACGAUCAGAGGAUGCCUCAUCAAUCUUUCUAGACCAUCCUGUCUGAUCUUAAAUUAAUGCUAAUGGUAAUUCAGAUGGUUUCCAUUAUUAUCCAUUAUUAAUUAUCAUUAAGUCAAUUUUUAAUGUAAAAGGAAAUAUUCUAACAAAUCUUUAAAAAGCUAUCAAGAUAGCUAAGUUGAAGUUCUAAUAUUGAUUUCCAGUGAAAUGUUUGUUUACUUCCUCCUGAAAGCUCAAUAAAGCGACAGUAAAGGGAUAAAACAAAUAAACCUUAAGCCACAAAGAAUGAAAAUGAAUGACAGCAGACAAGUCAUGUCAAUAAAAAUGUUGAAAGCUGAAAGCAUAAAAGAAAAAAGAAAAAAAAGAUAUAAGGAGAAAAUCACCAGCCUGUAGACAACCAAAGGGGGAAAAAAAGUCAUGUACAAACAAGGAAUCAGAAUGGCAUCACAUUAGAAGAUAAUGGAGCAAUGCCAUCAAAAUGCUGAGAGAAAAAUGAAUGCUAACCUAGAAUUUUACACCCAGAUAAAUUAUCAAAUAUGAGGAUGGAAUAACGAUUCUGAGACACGUAAGAUUUUUUAAAAAUUUAUCUUUUUCUUCAGAUUUAUGAAACUGUAGAUCUAGCAUGUGAUAAAGACAAAGGCAAUUCUUCCAAGAUGAUUAUGACUCUCAGGACAUUUGUAUGAGUGCAACCAGUCUGGAAUAGAAAACUAAUGAAUGAUGGGCAAGAAAUCAUCAAAAAAAAAAGAAAGAAAGAAAGAAAGAAACUUGGUAAGUUACCUGGUGAGUUUGAAGACACAGAAAGACAAUUAUACUGCUGUCAGAGUCUGAGGAAUGAAUGAGCAGUAAGUAUGUAGAAAAUUAAGGAACCCUCUCUCCUGCCCCAAGAAGCAUGAUCAAAUUCAGGGAAAAUAAAAAGUUGUUAUACAAGAAUGGAAGUAAAAUAAAAGUAUACUACAAUACUCAAAUGUAACUAAUGUUUAUGUUAAUUAUAAUAAAAAACACUAAAUAUCAAUUUAACCAGAAAUUGCUAGAACAGGAGAAGAGAUCAUGUGUGCAGUGUGUAAAUAUUCAGAAAAAGCUAAAUAUUCACCUUCCAUGUAGCUAUUAUCAAUAGGUAUUAUCUAAAACUGCAAAAAAUAAAACAAAUGAAAACAAACCAUGAAACAGCAGUAUAAGCAAAUAUUUAGAAUAGAUGUUCUGCAAAUGUGGUCCAGGAACACACCCGUUCAGGGGGUCCACAAGGUCAAACUUUUUUCAUAAUAAAACUAAGACUGUGUUAGUUUAAAUAAUAAAACUGUCAUUUUCACUUUCAUUCUCUCGCUAUGUUUAUAUACAAUAAAAAUUGUACAGUGCAAUUUUCCAGAAGCUAAGCACCAUAUCACAACAGACUGAAUGAAGAAUUUGAUAGGAAAAUCCGGCUAUCUUCUAUUAAGCUAUUCAAUAAAGGGCACUGCCGAAUGUAAAACAAUGUUACUGUUAGUCUUCUUAAAUCUUUUUGGUUAUUUGGAAAUAUAUAUAACCUACAUAAAGCAAAAGCUCUUUGGGAUCCUGAACAAUUUUUAAGACUAUAAAGGAGUUCUCAGAGCAAAAUGUUUAACAACCACUGAUUUAGAGAAAUAGGGAGUUAAAAGAGAAACAUGGAGGGCCAGGUGCUAUGGCUCAGCCUGUAAUCCCAGCACUUUGAGAGGCCGAGGUGGGUGGACCACUUGAGGUCAGGAGUUCCAGACCAGCCUGGUCAACAUGGUGAAACCCCGUCUUUACUAAAAAUACAAAAAUUAGCUGGGAGUGGUGGUGGGCACCUGUAAUCCCAGCUACUCGGGAGACUGAGGCAGGAGAAUCACUUGAACCUGGGAGGCGGAAGUUGCAGUGAGCCGAGAUCAUGCCACUGCACUCGAGCCUGGGUGACAGAGCAAGACUCUGCUGCCCGCCGCACCACGCCCUACUGGGGCAAAAAGUGAGAAACAUGGAGUUAAGAUCGCCAUGUAUGGUUGGGCAGGUUGUUUCCAGUACAAGGAUGCCAGGCCAAGGGAAUCAGUAGGUCUAGAAACCAACUGAUGCUCUAUUCUCCAAACCACCAGAGAGGGGAUCUUUUUCUAAAUUGCACAAAGGCAGAAGAGGGUCUAGUGGUCACCAUGGUAAUAAAAGACCAUAAGAAGCUAAUAAGUGAAUAUGAUUGCUUUGAAUUAAUCUAUGGGGAGAAAAAUUAGAAUAGUGGUUACCUCUAAGGAGAACAAAUUGUAAAAGGACACAAGAUAACUUUCUGAGUUGAUAACAAUGUUCAGCUUGAUUGGGAGUUAGAGCCCAGGUAUACAGACUUAAAAUUAUCUAACUGUACACUCAUGAUCUAUGCAUUUUACUGUAUACAAUGAUGCUACAAUUUUUUUAAAGUAUGUUCCUCUGACAUAGGGCAGGACUAUAUAUUUGCAUAUUAAAAUUUAGUAUUACUUUGGUAAAACUCAAAUUCUAUUAACACCUAUUAUGUAAUGAAUAAAUAACAUUUUUAAAUGAAAUCGGUACAGCUACUGAAUCCUAAGGGUUUUUAUGUUGCAGGAAUCAAUCUUUACCAGAAUGCCUUGCUGUGAAAAAAGUACCAACAAUAUUGUUACUGACAUGUGAGGCAGGGAUAAGCAGUAACAGUAAUAUAAGAAGUAAUAUUCCAAAACAAGAAUGAUGAGGAGAGAAAACUGGGACUUUAAUAAUAGUAGUUGAUCAAGAGGUCAGGAGUUCGAGACCAACCGGGCCAACAUGGUGAAACCCCGUCUCUAUUAAAAAUACAAAAAAUUAGCCAGGCAUAGUGGCAGGUGCCUGUAAUCCCAGCUACUUGGGAAGCUGAGGCAGGAGAAUCACUUGAACCCGGGAGGCAGAGGCUGCAGUGAGCCAAGAUCACACCAUUGCAUUCCUGCCUGGGUGACAGGGCAAGACUGUUUCUCAACAAAAAAAUAAAUAAAAAUAACAGUAGCUGAAAUCUACUAAUUUUUAACUCUGUUCCAGGCAUUGUGCUAUUAUUGUUACAGAUUAUUAUUUUCCCUAUUUUGCUGAUGAAAAAACUGAGACACAGAGAACUGAAGUAACUUACCCAAGGUAUCAAAGUAAGUGAUAGAGACAAAAUUUAAAUCUUUUGAAGAAUGACUGUAUAACCUGAAUUCUGCUAGUGCUGCUGCUUCCUGAAUAGCAGCAGCCCCUCCCCAACAAUUCAGUGAGGGUACUGGGCAAAAAGGAGAAAUAUCAUUCCUUUGAUAUUUUUCCCAACCAUUAAAAAAUAUAAAAAUCAUUCUUACCCCAUGGGCUACAGAAAAACAGCAGGCAGGCAGUAUUUGAAGAUAUAGGCUAUAAUUUGCCAGUCCUGCGUUCCACUUUAAAGGAGAUUAUAAAAUAGUGGCCCAUGCCUUCAGUGUUUUGGGCUAAAAUUGUUGUAUAAAUUAAAAUAGUACUGAUUUUUAGCUUGCCUUGGAAAAUUGGAGGAUCCAGCAACACUGGACUCAUGUUUUAAAAAUGAAAACCAAGAAUAUUCUUUUGUUUUUUGAGACAGAGUCUUGCUGUGUCACCCAGGCUGGAAUGCAAUGGCGCAAUCUCAGCUCACUGCAGCCUCCAUCUCCCAGAUUCAAGCGAUUCUCCUGUUUCAGCCUCCCAAAAAGCUGGAAUCACAGGCGCAUGCCACCACGCCUGGCUAAUUUUUGUUUUAGUAGAGACAGAAUUUUGCUAUGUUGGCCAGGCUUAUCUCGAACUCCUGACCUCAGGUGAUCCACCAGCCUCAGUAUCCCAAAGUGCUGGGAUUACAGGCGGUGGCUUGCGCCUGGCAGGAAAACCAAGAAUAUUCUUACUUGUUUCAUAUGCAAAAAGUCCAGCUUCAACAAUUCAUCUGCUUCAGCCCAGGAGACACUGAAUUUGCCUUCUCUGCUUAAGAUGCCUAGCACGGCCCUAGGUAAAACUGAUAGACAGGAAAUUUUAUGUCCCAGUAUUAAAGGGAGGAAAAAAUGAAUUGGAUAAAGUUAUAUAAAAUGAAAAACUGAAAACUGAUAAUGCAAAGCUAAAUAGACUAGCUCUCAAAAAUCAUUUUCCCCAGCAUAAAAAUGGGUCUGCUUUUGGAUACUGCAGAGAUUCAAGUGAUUUAAUUAACAAUGCAUCUUUUAAAAUUUUUAUAUAAAAUAAUUUAAAACAUUAUAAUCAUAUAUAAGCAGAGAAAAUAGUUAAGACUUAAGCUUUAUCCUUAACUCAUUCUGAAAACAAACAACUUUUAAAAAUAAUUUGCAUCUUGACUGCUCUGCCUAUGCAGUACCAUUCUUUUACUCCUUUACUUUCUUAAUAAACUUGCUUUCACUAAAAAAAAAUAAUAAUUUGAGCCUUAAAGUUAAUCAUUCAAAUAAACACAAAAAUCCACCAAACUUGUUUUUUAAAGUAUGAAAUUCAACUAUGCCAAAAACGGUUUAUGCAAAUAUUUCAAAAUUUCAAAGUACAAAAUAUCCACCACCAUACUUAGUAUCACUUUCCCAAAUAAACGUCCAGGAUAUUUAACUCAGAAGUGGUAUUAUAUAUAAGCUGUGAAAAUUUUAUUUCUCUUUUGUCGUACUUAUGUUAGUUCAACAUCAUAAAAUUAUUGCUGGUAACUUAUCAGUACUGAAAGAUAAAACAUUAAGUGAAAAAUCAGAAUAUAUCUCUACCAUAAAAACAAGGGUAAUUUCCUCAUCGCUACAACUCAAGAUUCAAACUUUUCUGUUUAAGAAUAAAAAGUCUACGUUCAUUCUUACCUGAUUUUUCCCCAAGUACAAUUAUAGAAAUACUGCAAAAAGUUUUUUCCUCUAAUAAAAGAGCUUAAAGAAUGCACAAUAAUUUAAAAUAAUCUUGUUCAUUCAAUUGUUGAUAACACUUAUAAAAUGAGGUUGUAUUGUAGAUCUCCUUAAAGCUAUUAAAAAUAUGUGUUGUAAGUACUAAUUAAAAGGGAUAAUCACAAUUAAGUGGAAAUUUUUCAAAAAUGAUGUCCUUAGUGUUAUAAUUUCCAAUUUUCAACUUUCAGCUGUCUACUUUGGAAAAGACUUUCAUUGUGAAGCACAGCUCCAGUGUUAAUAUUUUGUAUAUCAUUUAGGCAAAAAUCACCUCAUUCAGAAAUUCAGAAUUGUCAAAUCCUUUAACAGGUUUCAGUAACGGUCUAAAGUCCUUAAUUUCUUUUCCUUUAGUCUUUAAGCUCUAAUAAAAUGCCACGUUUGCCAAAAAAUUUAAGAGGAUGAUUUUACUGGUAACCCAAAAAGAUUUUUUUUUCUGAGUCUUCCUUUACUGACACUGACAUACAAAGCAGUACAAGAAGCUUUAGUUAAAUCUAGGAAUUCAGGAAGUAGUAUUUCCUUUUGGAAAAAGAAUGUGGGUUUUGAAUAGACACGCCAGACAUUUAAGUUAUGGUAUGAUAAAACUAAGAGAAAUAAAAUCUCCCCCAAUGACUACUUAGUACAUGUUUCUAUGUACAUUUACCCACAAGUCAAGAUUUGGAAAUGCAUAAUAAACACCUUGUAAGUCAAAUUCUAAAUUAAUUUAAAUAGGCCUGUAACAUAAACGUAUUUGAGAUAUUUCUGCUUAAAAAAUACUUCCAGUCACAUAAACCUUUUAUAUGUCAGAGUUGAAUUCCAUGAGGUCACUCAGGCUUAUUAUGCCAAGUAUAUUAUACUCAUUUCUGUCUAGUUGGGAAGACUACAAUCCUGUGCAAUAUGCAACCUUGCACACCCAAUAUGCUACAGCAGUGUCCUGUCAGGGAUGUGUACACAGGAGGUCCUGCCAAGGCAUUUGGGAUGCACAGACGCAAUUCAUUUAUUUCCCAGCACUAAACCCUCAAUUCAGAUAUUAAUAUCCUCAUGGAGAACCAAAAUGUAAUGUAAAAGUUUCACUGGCCAAUAUCUGCAAACACGGAAUUACAUAACUAGGUAAUAAGAUGCACUUUGGUUAAAGAGAACCAAGCUCUCAAUCCCUUGAGAGCAUUAUAUCAACAUUAUAGUAAAUGGCCAGCCAUGCAUUUUAUGUCCCUUCUCCUCACUCCCCAAAAAACACACAAACAAAACCACCACCACAAACGAAAAGCUUAAUUAUCAAAACCUUCAGUCUUGAUUGUGUGAAUAGGGAAAACCAGAAAGGGUAAAGAACCAGGGUCUAAACAGCCAUUUGUCAUGGGUAACUCAAAACUUUUACUGGGUGAGUCGGCCUUCACUUUCUCUCUUGCACUCACCCUGCCACUAUUUUCUCUCCUAUAUCAGCACUUUACUUUUCUCUCUCCUUUUAAAGAAUAUCUACAAAGUGGGGUAGAGAGAAAGCAACACUAUUUGUCAGCAAAACAACUUGCAGGGAUACAUAUGAAGCAAGCUUAAGCUAUUCUGUGGCCUGAUACUGGAAAAGGGGUUUCAUAAGCAGGCAUUGCAACAAAGAGGUGCUGACAACUUCACUGUUCACUGUGAGGUAAACAGAAGUGACAAUGUGCUUUAUUACAUAAUACCUCUACCCAUCUCCUUUCUCUUUGACCCACUGCUACUUGAUAUGAGGGAAGAAUGUAACAUGUUAAACACCAAAAGGAAGAAAGGGAAUAGUCUGGUUAGAGUGAGGAGGUAGUUGCUAUUUUUCACAAUUAAAACAAUUUAAUGUCUGCCAAAUAUAAUUAUGUAAUCCUAGCAUCUUCAUAGAUUUUUGAAACUGGAAGAAUCCUUACAGGCCAUCUGGUCCUACCCUCUCAUCUUACAGACAGAAAACCUAAAAAUUUAAGCCCAAGAUCAAGUAGUUAUGUAAUGACAAAACUGGGACUUCUGAUACAGUACAUCAAGUAUUUUGUUAUCUGCAAAUAUAAAACAAUUUCCCAAGGUUCAAAGUAUUGCCACAAAAAUAUAUGAAUUGUUGCCUAUAGCAUAAAACAUGUAUAUAAUUUCAAAUUCACUUCUGCUACCCAAAAUACAUCCCAUCUUUGCUGUCUCUAUAGCUCUAAGAGCUUUAUGCCUACUAGGAGAGGAGGAAGGUGAAAACAAUUAAGGGGAAAAUGCAGGAAAAGAAUAAACAGCAAGCUAGUUGAGAUAAAACUAUCAAUAGAAAUGGCUGUUAGGAUUAAUAGCUGCUGAAAAGAUAAGACUGAAAAAUGGGGUAAUAGAACUGUUUCUGGAGAGUUCUCACCCUGCAGAAGAAAAAAAUAGAAAGACAGGAGCAAUGUAAAAGUACUGGAAUGCAUGUUAUAUAAGCCAGCUGAUUAGAGUGAUCAGAAUUCUUGUGGCAUAAGGUAACAGAAUCUGCAUUUUAAAACCAGAGCAGGUGGUCCCUAAGAGCACAUUUUGGAAAACAAUGGUCUGCGGGAUAUUGUGAUCUGGGAGGGUUAAAGAUAAGAAAAAUUCUUGUUCAGGAGUUCUAGGCCAUUAACUAGCUUGGUUUGAUUCUUUCAACCAACCAGGCAAAGGAAAUGCCCUCGGCAAAACACAUUAAGGCUGAUUCUGUUCCCAGUCCAGGCAGUCAGACAAGGUGGCUGCCACAGAGCCACCCGCAAGGAGCCAGAGAACAUUAUGUAAUCACUGCCCAAGCUCUGAAAUGAAGAGAUCAGAACUUCUUUCACAAAAGUCUGUCAUUAAGGUUUUCCUUUUCCCGUUAAGCGACUGACUGAUUAUAAGGAUUCUACUUUUAAUGUAGAGAAAUAUUUUGUCAUCCCCUAAAGAAGUCUUUCAGCUUAUAGCUGGAAAAAGAAUUAGUCAUUUUUUAUCUACCAACUCAUCCGUGACUGCUGGGUGGUUUACAAAGACGACUCUGGCCCUCACUCUUUAGUCCCAGUAGUAUUUUUCUUUGGAUAUGGAGGAUCUGAGAAAAUAAAAAAUGGAAAACAAAGCACGGAGCUACCAAUGAUUACUUAUAGCUGCAAUGACCACAAAAUUUAAAUAUGGUGAACUCGUGAGCAAUUUUGAGAAUCUGGCAGAGUCACUAUUUCAGAAAUGACAAAAAUUGUCAGAAGUCAGAUUUAAUGGUGCUCAGCAAAUGUAAUUCUGAUGUUUGUCCAGAGUUUCAAAUCUCCACUACAGCGGAACAGAGAAAAGCUGUCUGAAGUGACAUCAUCCAAUGCUCGCUCACUCUCUCCUUUCUAAAUGGGAGCAGUUAUAUUUGUUAAUAGGAUUUUUAAAUGUAUGUGUGUAUAUAUAUAUAUGUGAUAGCAUUAAGACUACAUAUAUUUGAGACUGUUGUGACUGGAUACUUGACUCUCAAUCUAUUUUAGGUACAACGAAUGUUAGAUAAACAAAGAGCUAACAUAAUAAUUUGCUACUGCAAUUUUCAUCUGUGCAUUCCAAACAUUUUCUUUAAAGACCAAGAUUGUUUGCAAUGGCUUCAGGAAAACAAUACCAAUACGAAAACCAAAACCUUUAAUCCUUUUAGGGAAUCAGUUCACUGUUCCUAUUUCAAGGCAAGGCAAGUCAUUUAGAAAUCAACCUCUGACGUGUCUGUUUUUAUCAGAACAUUUCCAGAAAGUAAGAUUACCAUUAUAUUCUGAAGAUAGAUUAUAUUCAGAAUAUAAUAAAUUAUAAUAUGAUGUCUAGAUUACCAUUAUAUUGUGAAUUUUUUACAGUAUAUUAGUGGCCUGUUUUUCAGCAAUAAUUUUCAUUCGUCCAUAUAAAAACUCCCAUUAUUCAUACGUGGCACACCAAUUUUUUUAAGUUAAAACUAAAUUUACCCUACUGAUAAUAGGUCUUGAAAAAUGCUAACAACAACAAAAAAUAAGAUAAGCAACAUAACUUUACAGUUAAUUUCUAAUUUUUGCAGCCUAAAAAGGGUCUGGGUAAGAGGCUGUGGGCUUUUUUAACUUAUGAGACAAUUACACUCAUAUUUAAGUAAAUAUGAUCGUAACCUACUAAAAGUCAACACAGUAACAGCCCCACUUCAUGAAUUUUCCUAGGAUUAAAGGGAGAUUUUGUAAAAUAAAGGAGAAUUUUAUUAGGGACCCGGGGGCAAAUUUCUCAUGUUUAGUUUCACGCAGCAGGAGUCCUCACAAAGACGCUGAUACAAUUUAAAUGCCAACAAUUGGUUUUUCACUAACAUCCACAUAGUCAUUACUGGCCUUUACUAGUAAUGGUAAGAGACAGCCCAAACCUACUUCGGGCGGACUGUCCCUUCGUCCCCUCUCCAGGUGAAGUUCACCUGCCACUACCGAAGGGCCGUGGAAAAAGGAGGUAAAGAAACGCUUUUAAAAUUAAGACGCUUACAGUUGCUGGACUUAGUCCAAGUGCUGUUCAAGCCUAGAAACGAAAGUGGGAAACAACAGAGGUUUAGGCUUGUAAUGAUGUCAGCCAUUUUAGGUACAUUAUUUAUACUGGGAAGGAAGUGCCAAACUCGGUUGUUGUUGUUGUGCCUGUCGCUGCCGGUCCCCAGAUCGAACAAGCCAAGUCCUGGCUGCACGCACGCUCCCCGGACUGCACAAACGACCGGGAAUUCGGCACAAUUAGCCAAUCGUUCCCUCUCCAGGCCUCCCAAGCCCCCGACCCCGCGUCAGGCACCGCUUCCAGCACACGCACUUCCUUACAAAGGAGCUGCGGACCCACAGGAAACGGGAGCGCCGGGCUCUCUCGGGGACUUGUCC
rnacentral:lncRNA from 10 species